rnacentral:rRNA from 1 species
CUGCAGUCGUACGAGAGUUUUUACUCAAGUGGCGGACGGGUGAGUAACACGCUAUAAUUUGCCUUUAGGAGGGGGAUAACAACUGGAAGCGGUUGCUAAUACCCCAUAUGCUUUCGAGUGAAAUGGUUUUUCCGCCUAAAGAGAAGCUUGCGGCUGAUUAGCUUGUUGGUGAGGUAAUAGCUCACCAAGGCGACGAUCAGUAUCUGGUUUGAGAGGACGAUCAGACACACUGGAACUGAGACACGGUCCAGACUCCUACGGGAGGCAGCAGUAGGGAAUUUUCCGCAAUGGGCGAAAGCCUGACGGAGCAAUACCGCGUGAGGGAUGACGGCCUAUGGGUUGUAAACCUCUUUUUUCAGGGAGGAAUAAAUGACGUGUACCUGAAGAAUAAGCAUCGGCUAACUCCGUGCCAGCAGCCGCGGUAAGACGGAGGAUGCAAGUGUUAUCCGGAAUCACUGGGCGUAAAGCGUCUGUAGGUGGUCCAAUAAGUCAACUGUUAAAUCUUGAGGCUCAACCUCAAAACCGCAGUCGAAACUAUUAGA